rnacentral:tRNA from 1 species
GCCUUAGUAGCUUAAAUUAAAGCACCGGUCUUGUAAUCCGAAGAUCGGAGGUUAAACCCCUCCCUAAAGCC